GGUCGCAUAGCUCAGUUGGUUAGAGCGUCUGUCUUACAAACAGAAGGCCGCCAGUUCGAGUCUGGCUGUGACCAC
rnacentral:tRNA from 1 species